UUUUUUUCUACCGUAAAAAAAGCCUUACAUGCGCAAUCUUUAGGAUCUAAAGAGACGAAUGCACAUUUUAGAAUAUAGCAUCCGCCUGAUGAAAUGUGAAGAAACGCGGUUUUUUGAACACUACACGUGAUAAUAAAUAUAUAGUUGGUUGCUGUUGAAACAUCGAUUAUAUUUAAAGGAAAGUUUUAUUUGUGGAAUAAUCCAUUUUUCAAAGAUUUUAUAUACAUCUGAUGGAUAAUCUGUUGACCACCCAUGCUCCUUAACGGCUUGACUGAGUACAACUUCGAAUGAUGUUAAACCGUUUGUGUGUAAAGGAAACAAUCUUCAACUAAUCAGCCUAAGGACCACAGUUUUGAGAUAGCGAGAUAUCGUCCUUAUUUCAAGAAAUGCACAGCACAGAUGAGUUGCACAGAGGCAGUUUUACCUAGUUCACAGCGGUGACCUUGAUAUCCAGGUUUACAGCCCUGACAGUAGAUGACGUACUGUCCAUGUACAGGACAGGUGGAGGUGAAGACAGCAGGUAUGGUGUCUAGUGUAAAGUUGUCGUCCUUGUAACACAGUGUUCCCUGUAGUCUGUCUGUCGUAUUGGAGACGUACACCGAGAAUCCAAGAAAAUACUUAGUGAGCCAAUUAGAAGGACCUGCAAAUAUUAAUCAAUUAUUGAUGGACGUACAUAAUCAUGUAGCUAGACAAACAAAGUUUAACGAACAUAUGGUAUUAAAGAAUACUUAUGAUGUCGUAUAUGUAAAAGAGGUUACCCCGUAUUGUGUUUGUUGUACUUUUUAAACAUUGUAAAAAAUGAAGGGUUUGCAGUAAAAUUAGAUUACUAUAGUACCUAUUUGUAUUUGAUUUGCUUGUUUAGCUUAAAAAAAACAACAUAAGAUGAACGGUAUAUCAUACAUUCUGUUUUACUGUAGUAUGUCUAUUGUGUUGAGUACGUACAAAGUAAUCGCACACAGCACUGUUGUCAAUAAAUGAAUUUGCAGUAAACAUC
rnacentral:sRNA from 1 species